GGGAGGUGACGCCGGGAGGUCCCGGCUGAGAGCGCCGGCUGCCGGCUGGGGACCUGGUGAGUGUGAAGCUGUAACCUUCUGCUGGGGCCGGGGCCGAAGUUUUUCCGCCAGAGCAAGGAAGGCUGCCCCUGGCAGCAACUGCACUCCUUCCUUACUCCUGUUGAGAUUCAUUUUAUAGUAGGAAAUAGGCAUCUAACUACCAUACAAGUUCAGACCAAUGGAAGAAAAGAGCAGCAAAAAUUGAACUGAAUGAAUCCCAAAAGCAAGAAAUUAAAGACGCCUUUAAUUUAUUUGAUAUUGAUGGGUCUGGAACCAUCGAUGUAAAAGAAGGAAAUGCUUGAUGAAGCUGAUCAUGAUAGAGAUGGAGAAAUAAACGAGGAAGAUGUUUUGAGAGUGAUGAAAAAGACUACUCGUUAUUAAUAGCGUUGUUUUAGUCCUUGUGGAAAAUUAACAAAUUUGUAUUUGUUAUGCAGUUUUAUAAUUUAAUAUCUGAAUGUAUUCAUUUUCAGUUUUUAGUUUAUAUGUACACAUUGGCUUCUUGAUGUCUAAUCCAUGUAAGAAGUUACACAUCUCUACCAAUAUGAUGUUAAAUCUACAGCAUCAAGAAACAAAACAUAAUGACUUCUUUGAGCCAUUAAUCCAAGAACAGUAUUGAUUCUAGCUGCUCUUUUGAGAACCUUAGGUCACAAAGACUUAGAAUUUUAAAGUUUGAUGAAGUUGGCUUCACAUCCAAAUGAAUUUGGCAAACAAAACUUAUAUUUUCCUUUUGUGCAACCCAAAAAAACCUGAUGAACAUUUGCUUUUUAGUCAGUUACUCAAAUACAUAAAGUAUUAAAUAGAACUGUCUGGAAACAUUAUUUGCUAAUUUUCUUCUUUUAGUUAUAAAGAAAAUUCAAAAUAGCACUUACAUCACCCAUAUUUCCCUGUAAGUUUGACUCUAUAGUGAGCACUUAAUACCUCUGUGCUAGGACAGGUGGUGUAGAGUUUUAUUUUUAAAAAAUUUUAUUUAUAUAUUUUUUGAGACAAAAUCUCCCUCUGUCACCCAGGCUGGAGUGCAGUGGUGCGAUCUCGGCUCAAUGCAACCUCUGCCUCCUGGGCUCAAGAGAUUCUCCUGCCUCAGCCUCCCGAGUAGCUGGGACUACAGGUACCUGCCACCAUGCCUAGCUAAUUUUUUGCAUUUUUAGUAGAGACGGAGUUUCACUGUGUUAGCCAUGAUGGUCUCAAUCUCCUGACCUCAUGAUCUGCCUACCUCAGCCUCCCAAACUGCUGGGAUUACAGGGGUGAGCCACCGUGCCUGGCCGAGAUUUUAUGUGUUAACCUCAGUAAACAUAUUACAAGUUGGAAGCUGAUUGUAUUAGCUCCAUUUUACAUACAAGAAAACUAAAGUUCAGAGAAGUUUUAAAAAUUCCCCAGUUGCCCAUUGAUAAGAAAUAAAACAUGGAUUCCAAAUCUUAA
ensembl:lncRNA novel transcript